UUCUCCCCAGCCCCCGGGAGGAGGCGCUGGUGCCCGGGUCGGGCCUCUGGUCCCUCCCAGCCGGCGUCCCGGAGCCCCCAUUCACAAUUCACAAAGCUCCGCUUGGAGGACGGACACACACACACACACACACACACACACACACACACGCACGCACGCACACAUUGCGAAGAGGGGAGCUUGAUCUUGUCUCAUUGGCGUCUCGGGCCUGAAAGGAAAAUCGUUUGGGUAAACAGCCAAGCUUCCAGGCUUAACGUCGGCUCCCGCCCCUGCCCCUCCACCCCCUCCGCCUCCCCCACUCCCCUUCCACCCCACCCGCCACCCACACUCGGCUCCGCAGCCGGGCCCCGAGCGAGCUCCGCGCAGCCGGCCGGGAGCCCAGGGCCCCCAGGUUCAAAGGGCCGCGGCCCGGAGGGGAAGCCCUACUCGCUGUGCCCCGGGGGGCAGAAGCGGACUGCAGGGCGGUGGGACCGGCCCGGGCCACGUUUCAGGUUGGCAAGGGGAUUCUGUUCCAAGUACCUACUUGAGGUCCACGACGAUGGAGGCUCAAUCAUCUAUAAUUGGACAAUCUUGAAUUAAUGGCAUCCUCUGCGGCCAUAGCAGAGGAAGAGAAUACUGGAGGGUAUCAAGACCAGAAGUAACAUGUGUGUCUUUCUUUUUAUAUCUUGUUGGCCAUAACUGGUCACCUGGCCAAGCAUAACUCCAAGAAAUCUGAGAAAUGUGGUUCUUUAUGCUCUUGGAAGGGAGAGAAAAGCCAGAUAUUGUGAGUACCAGCAAUGUCCACCAUAUUGCAUAAUUCAGUCCCAUCAAGGAAACCAACGACUAGAAGGGCCUGUAUCCUAGGUCACAAAAUACACUAGUGGCAGAGUCAAUACUAGAAUUCAGCUCUUUUGAUUCAAGGUAUUAUUUCUGCUGCCAUUUUUACAGUAGUUAACUCUUUAUCUCCAUCGGAGUUGAUGGCACGAGGGUAUUGCAGAACUACAGAGUACAUGGGCUAUAUCAUCACUUGUGAAUGAAGAAUGAUCACCUAACUAACAGAAUCUGAAUAGAAGCUGGCUUGAUCAAAAGGAGAAUGUACUACCUCUGAUAAUGGAAAAGAACAGAGAAGAGCUAAAUACAUAAAUAACACCCCUAGGAAACAUUUUAAAAAAUCUUUAUGGCUGCAUUCAUGGCAUAUGGAAAUUUGCAGGCCAGGGACUGAAUCUACAGCACAGCUGCAAUCUAUGCCACAGCUGUGGCAAUGCCAGAUCCUUUAACCCACUGUGCCAGGCCAGGGAUGGAACCUUUGCUUCCACAGUGACCAGAGGUGCUGCAGUCAGAUUCUUAACCCACUGUGCCACAGUGGGAACUCUGGAAACUGUUCUUUUAUCUUUAGCUUUGCUUUUCCUUCUCAAAUAGACUCUCUUCAUGUGGCAGCAAAGAUGGUUACGAGUACCUCAAAGAUUAUAUUUAGUAGUUUAGCUUUUUUUUUUUUCCCCCUCAGAUGUUACAUCAAACAUUUCAGUGCUGACAUCUAUAGGUCUUGAUUGGGUCAUGUGCCCAGCCUUGGAAAAAUUACCAUCAUUUUGAUUGGUUGGGCUUUGGUUACUUGCCUACUGCUGGACCCAAGUCCCUAACUCUUAAGGACUGAGAAUACAGAAAGGAGGUGGCGUCCUAAUGGAAAAUCAAGCUUCUAUUACAUAAAGAGGGAAUGAAUGCUGGGCAGAAAAAAAUUACAGAUAUCUCUUCUAGUACUCAACUAUAUCCUUGAGUACUCAAUAAAUGCAGGAGAGAACAUAAAUUAUUACAGGCAAGGGUGUUAUUUUAUGUUGAAAGCAAAGAGAGUUAGGAUACAAAGGACGUGGAAAAAUCGGUAGAUGAAAUUGGAUCUCAAGUUACCUUCUUCUCUUUUAACACUACGUUUUCCCAAAGCUUUGCACAUGUAAUAGAGGUAGAUAACAUCUUUUACACUUUCUUUCUUUUUCUUCUGUCUUUCUUUCUUUUUUGGGGAGAGUGGGGGGGCUGCACCUGCAACAUAUGGAGAUUCCCAGGGUAGCAGCUGAAUUAGAGCUGCAGCUACUGGCCUACACUACAGCCACAGCAAUGCUGGAUCCAAGCCACAUCUGUGACCUAUGCUGGAUCCUUAGCUCACUGAGCGAGGCCAAGGAUCAAACCCCCAUCUUCAUGGAUACUAGCUGGAUGCUUAAUCUGCUGAGCCACAACAGGAAUUCCCCACAUUUUCAUUUUUUAUAGAAAGAUAUAUUGGGGGGAGGUGUAUAGGCUAUAAAACAAAAUUUUAAAGCCUUACAAAUGAUCAAUAUUCUCCAAGGAAAUAAAUAGAGAGACCAUGGUCUACUCUUUAGGUGAGUUCAAGUUUUACUGCCCAGGAAACCCCUGUUAUUCAAAUGGGUUUACCUUUGCUUAAUCUGUAAGCAGUUCUGGUUCCAAGCACCACUGUGUUCAGAAGAGGAAACUUGUCUUUGAUCUUCUUUUUCUUUUUGUCUUGUUAGGGCCACAUCUGCGGCAUAUGGAGGUUCCCAGUCUAGGGAUCUAAUCAGAGCUGUAGCCGCUGGCCUAGGCCAGAGCCACAGCAAUGCCAGAUCCGAGCCACGUCUGCGACCUAUACCACAGCUCAUGGCAAUGCCAGAUCCUUAACCCACUGAGCGAGGCCAGGGAUUGAACCUGCAACCUCAUGGUUCCUAGUCGGAUUCGUUUCCGCUGCGCCACGACAGGAGCUCCUGUUCUUCUUUCCAUGGGUGCCAAUCACAGUUUCUCCAAGCCUGGUGUUCAGUUAUGGUACUGCCACUUCCCUCUUCAAAUCACAGUGAUUUAUCUGUGUGGGAGAAGUCCAUCAUUUUCACCCACUUAUCAUAUCUGGUUUGGUAGACCUCAUUUUAAACCAUCAUACAUAAAAUAUUCCUUAAAUACCAAUGAAAUUCAUAAAAAUACACCAAGAGACAGUGCCUGUAAAUAAAUGCUACCCACUGAUGUUUGUAUAGCACAUUUCUCUCUCCAGCAUUCUUGCAUGUAAACCACCUCACUUGAUCAUCUUGGGAACAGUGGAAGGCAGACAGGGCAGAUAAGAAUAUUAUUAUUCUCAUAUAAAAAUUAUGAAAUAGAGAUGGAGUGAUCUACUCAAACUGAUAAUUACUAUGACUUUUCGGAUGCCAGACCUCAGGUUUUCCCACAAGACUUAUCUGAAUUUGGGUGAGGACUGUAGUGUUGGCUAGAAGGUAAGAGGAAAAACUCAGAAAUUAAAUAUAUUUUAUUCAUUUGAAGGGGAUUUGAAGACUGGCUCUGCUGAUUGAUAGUUACAUGGCCUUGGGCAAAUUUCUUAAUCAUAUAGUCUCAAAUUACUCAGCUGUAUUGUUUUAAUUUCCCAUACCUCACAGGAAUCUGGUGAUGAUUAAAUGAGAUAAUACAUGGACAGUGCUUAGCAGAGCUUCCAUAUGUAAAUACUGCUUUAAUGUGCUGGUUAUUAUUGUUAUCAUACAUUUCUAAAUGCAUAUUUAACCUUCAUUCACAAAGAGAAAUAAAGAACUAAAUAAUUCAC
rnacentral:lncRNA from 1 species